rnacentral:rRNA from 1 species
GCUGUUAGUUAAGUGUACUGAGGCUGCCAGAAGCUAAGCAGGAUUGGACCUAAUCAGUAUUUGGAUAGGAGGCUGCCUAGGAAUAUUAGGUGCUGAAUGCU